GAUGAAGAACGCAGCGAAAUGCGAUACUUGGUGUGAAUUGCAGAAUCCCGUGAACCAUCGAGUCUUUGAACGCAAGUUGCGCCCGAAGCCAUUAGGCCGAGGGCACGCCUGCCUGGGCGUCACACGUCGUUGCCCCCCAUCUCCUCCUUCGGGAUUGCGGGGGGCGGAUGAUGGCCUCCCGUGCGCCUCGUCGCGCGGUUGGCAUAAAUGCCAAGUCCUCGGCGACGCACGCCACGACAAUCGGUGGUUGCGAAACCUCGGUUGCCCGUCGUGUGCGGUCGUCGCGCAUCGAGGGCUCGAAAAAAUUGCCGGGCUCCGGCUCGGCUUUCAACGCGACCCCAGGUCAGGCGGGGUUACCCGCUGAAUUUAAGCAUAUCAAUAAGCGGAGGA
rnacentral:misc_RNA from 1 species